AACGCACAUUGCGCCCGCCAGUAUUCUGGCGGGCAUGCCUGUUCGAGCGUCAUUUCAACCAUCAAGCCCCAGGCUUGUGUUGGGGACCUGCGGCUGCCGCAGGCCCUGAAAACCAGUGGCGGGCUCGCUGUCACACCGGGCGUAGUAGAUUUUAUCUCGCUCUGGGCGUGCUGCGGGUUCCGGCCGUUAAAAAACCCUUUUUACCCAAGGUUGACCUCGGAUCAGGUAGGAAUACCCGCUGAACUUAA
rnacentral:misc_RNA from 1 species